AAUAGAUACCCAGGUAGUCCACGCCGUAAACGAUGGAUGCUAGCUAUUGGGGGGAAUCGACCCCCUCCGAAGCGAAGCUAACGCGUUAAGCAUCCCGCCUGAGUAGUACGAGCGCAAGCUUAAAACUCAAAGGAAUUGACGGGGACCCGCACAAGCGGUGGAGCGUGUGGUUUAAUUCGAUGGUAAACGAAGAACCUUACCAAGGUUUGACAUCCCGGUAGCCGUUCUCCGAAAGGAGAAUUUCAUUUAGUUGGACCGGUGACAGGUGAUGCAUGGCCGUCGUCAGCUCGUGUCGUGAGAUGUUGGGUUAAGUCCCGCAACGAGCGCAACCCUUAUGAUUUAGUUGGAUUUUUCUAAACAGACUGCCCUGGUAACAGGGAGGAAGGAGGGGAUGAUGUCAGGUCAGUAUUUCCCUUACACCUUGGGCGACACACGCGCUACAAUGGCCGGUACAAUGGGCAGCUAAGCCGCGAGGUGGAGCAAAUCCCAUCAAAGCCGGUCCCAGUUCGGAUUGCAGGCUGAAACCCGCCUGCAUGAAGCCGGAAUCGCUAGUAACC
rnacentral:rRNA from 1 species